rnacentral:rRNA from 1 species
UACGAAGGGGGGGCUAGCGUUGCUCGGAAUCACUGGGGCGUAAAGCGCACGUAGGCGGGAUUGCUAAGUCAGGGGGUGAAAUCCUGGAGCUCAACUCCAGAACUGCCUUUGAUACUGGUGAUCUUGAGUCCGGGGAGAGGUGAGUGGAACUGCGAGUGUAGAGGUGAAAUUCGUAGAUAUUUCGCAAGAACACCAGUGGCGAAGGCGGCUCACUGGCCCGGGUACUGACGCUGAGGUGCGAAAGCGUGGGGAGCAAACAGGG